rnacentral:tRNA from 1 species
AAAUAAGAAGCAUUAAUGCAUUUAAUUUCGACCUAAAAGACAGAGUAAUUAAUUACUCCUUAUUUA